GCAAGAGCCGCACGCGCAUUCAUUCAGUCCAUAGGACUUUCUCAAUGCUUUACUAUGGAUGUCAGCUUCUUCUCAAUGUGAUUUUCACAGUGAGAAGUGCGGAAGCGCCUCUAGUGGCUGUCUCAUUGACUGGAUUAACCCUAACGUAAACAUAGCAGUUUCUCUGAAACUGAAUAUAUAUAUACAUACACACACACAUACACUGCUGUGUAUGUGUGUGUGAGGGUGCUGUGUGUGGGCACUGUGUGUAGGUGCUGUGUGUGUGUGUG